rnacentral:rRNA from 1 species
UACAGAGGUCCCGAGCGUUGUUCGGAUUCAUUGGGCGUAAAGGGUGCGUAGGCGGCUUCCUAAGUUUGAUGUGAAAUCCUGGGGCUCAACCCUGGAACUGCAUUGAAUACUGGGAGGCUAGAGUACUGGAGAGGAAACUGGAAUUUACGGUGUAGCAGUGAAAUGCGUAGAGAUCGUAAGGAAGACCAGUGGCGAAGGCGAGUUUCUGGACAGU